rnacentral:snRNA from 1 species
AUCCUUAUCUCUGUCAGAAGAGACCCCGUGAUCACAAAGGUAGUUUCCCCAUAGCAAGGCUACUCCGUUGCACCCCAGAUAUGAUACACCUGUGAUUUCCCCCAAAUGUGGGAGACGUGAGUGCAUAAUUUGGCAGUGGGGACUGUGUUGAUACUUUUCAUG